GAUGAAGAACGUAGCGAAAUGCGAUAAGUAAUAUGAAUUGCAGAAUUCAGUGAAUCAUCGAAUCUUUGAACGCACAUUGCGCCCGCCAGUAUUCUGGCGGGCAUGCCUGUUCGAGCGUCAUUUCAACCAUCAAGCCCCAGGCUUGUGUUGGAGCCCUGCGGCUGCCGCAGCCUCCCAAAACCAGUGGCGGGCUCGCUAUCACACCGAGUGCAGUAGUUUACUCUUCGCUCAGGGCGUGUGGCGGGUGCUAGCCGUAAAACCCCCAACUUCUCAAGGUUGACCUCGGAUCAGGUAGGAAUACCCGCUGAACUUAAGCAUAUCAAUAAGCGGAGGA
rnacentral:misc_RNA from 1 species